UACGUAGGGUCCGAGCGUUGUCCGGAAUUAUUGGGCGUAAAGGGCUCGUAGGCGGUCUGUCGCGUCUGCUGUGAAAAUCCAGGGCUCAACCCUGGACCUGCAGUGGGUACGGGCAGACUAGAGUGCGGUAGGGGAGAUCGGAAUUCCUGGUGUAGCGGUGAAAUGCGCAGAUAUCAGGAGGAACACCGGUGGCGAAGGCGGAUCUCUGGGCCGUAACUGACGCUGAGGAGCGAAAGCAUGGGGAGCGAACAGG
rnacentral:rRNA from 1 species